GAAAUGCGAUAAGUAGUGUGAAUUGCAGAAUUCAGUGAAUCAUCGAAUCUUUGAACGCACAUUGCGCUCCUUGGUAUUCCUUGGAGCAUGCCAGUUUGAGUAUCAUGAAAUCUUCAAAGUAAAUCUUUUGUUAACUCAAUUGGUUUCUACUUUGGUAUUGGAGGUCUUUGCAGCUUCACACCUGCUCCUCUUUGUUCAUUAGCUGGAUCUCAGUGUUAUGCUUGGUUCCACUCGGCGUGAUAAGUUAUCUAUCGCUGAGGACACUGUAAAAGGUGGCCAAGGUAAAUGCAGAUGAACCGCUUCUAAUAGUCCAUUGACUUGGACAAUACUUUUAUGAUCUGAUCUCAAAUCAGGUAGGACUACCCGCUGAACUUAAGC
rnacentral:misc_RNA from 1 species